GUGUAGGUGCAUGUGUGUGUGCAUGGAGGCUGUUGGCUAUCUUCAGGGUGCAUGCGUGUGUGUGUGUGUGUGCAUGGAGGCUGUCCGCGAACUACAGGGUGCAUGUGUGUGUGCAUAGAGGCUGUCGGCUAUCUUCAGGGUGCAUGUGUGUGUGUGUGUGCAUGGAGGCUGCCCGCGAACUACAGGGUGCAUGUGUGUGUGCAUAGAGGCUGUCGGCUAUCUUCAGGGUGUGUGUGCAUGGAGGCUGUCGGCGAACUACAGGGUGCGUGAUCCUCUCACCUCGGCUGUUACUCCUGCUUUACUUCCUGUGAAGUCAGGACUUGAUUAACUAUCUGUAUUAUUUAAUAUCAACCCCACUUCUUGCUCUAUUCAAGGCAAACAUUUCAUCUCCGCUUUGUCAUGUUUCUCACGUACAAACUUACUGGUGUUCAUGUUUUGUUAUGCUUGGAAUGUUACUCUUACACACACGCACUCAUGCACGCACGCACUCAUGCACACACGCGCACACACACACACACACACACGCAGUUAUUAUUUUCAUAAAAUAUUAACUGAAUGUACAAUUGUACAAUUUAUCCUUUUGAUUCAUUUAUUCUAUACACAAAAUACAUGGACAUCACUUUAAUUGGGUUGUUGGACAGCAUCAUGUUACAUUUGCUGUCUUUGUCCCAGUUCCGGGUGUUUUGUAUCAGAAACCUUAUGGGUAGAUUUAGUGACUCACAUUUUGUUCCGCACCCGAUCAUCUGGAAGACUGGCUUCCAUUUAAACUCCAGAAUAGUUUCAGAGGGUGCGUGCUGGGAAAAGAUUAUAUACUACUCAAAAGAAGUAAAAGACCGCCCAUUGUUUUCAGAUGAAAAUAGUUAAUCUGUCAUGGCCAUCGCAGAUCAACUAUGGUCAUAUGAAAAAAUCGGGUGUUCUUUUGAGUAGUAUAAGUUGAUGAUUAAUAACAUUGUUACUGAGGUUGUGGUUAAGGUGAUCAAUCGUGUGAAUGAUUUCCGUCUCAGAGAAACUUACGAAACUGAGGAAAUGAUUCUGUUUAUGAUCUAGUUAACUUGAAUAUAUAUUAAGAAGACAAAUGGUAGAAAAGUACAAAAUGGACAUGUGUUCCCCACUGUUGUGCUUGUGUGGGUUGCCAUGGUGAUAAAGGUAAAUGUAACUUGUUUUUGAGUCACUUCAACUGUUGUUUUUUUAUUCCAAUGAUGUUGUUUUAUUUACUUUGUUAUGGUUUUUGUUCAACAUGUUUUAAUUACGUGUGUAAUUGAGAGCAAAGCACAUGAAAGGAAUCGUGAUUAUUUUCAUUUUAUUUAAGAGUUAUUUUAUAAUUUCAUAAAAUGUAAUCAUAUGUUUGAAUAAAUAUAUACCACAUUAACACA